AUUGAACGCUGGCGGCAGGCCUAACACAUGCAAGUCGAGCGGUAGCACAGAAGAGCUUGCUCUUUGGGUGACGAGCGGCGGACGGGUGAGUAAUGUCUGGGAAACUGCCUGAUGGAGGGGGAUAACUACUGGAAACGGUAGCUAAUACCGCAUAACCUCGCAAGAGCAAAGAGGGGGACCUUUGGGCCUCUCGCCAUCUGAUGUGCCCAGACGGGAUUAGCUAGUAGGUGAGGUAAUGGCUCACCUAGGCGACGAUCCCUAGCUGGUCUGAGAGGAUGACCAGCCACACUGGAACUGAGACACGGUCCAGACUCCUACGGGAGGCAGCAGUGGGGAAUAUUGCACAAUGGGCGCAAGCCUGAUGCAGCCAUGCCGCGUGUGUGAAGAAGGCCUUCGGGUUGUAAAGCACUUUCAGCGGGGAGGAAGGCGGUAAGGUUAAUAACCUUAUCGAUUGACGUUACCCGCAGAAGAAGCACCGGCUAACUCCGUGCCAGCAGCCGCAGUAA
rnacentral:rRNA from 1 species